UACAGAGGGUGCGAGCGUUAUUCGGAAUUACUGGGCGUAAAGCGCGUGCAGGCGGGAAGGCAAGUCUGAUGUGAAAGCCCCGGGCUUAACCUGGGAAGUGCAUUGGAAACUGCCUUUCUUGAGUACUGGAGAGGAAGGGGGAAUUCCCGGUGUAGAGGUGAAAUUCGUAGAGAUCGGGAGGAAUAUCAGUGGCGAAGGCGCCCUUCUGGACGGAUACUGACGCUGAGACGCGAAAGCGUGGGGAGCAAACAGGAUUAGAUACCCUGGUAGUCCACGCUGUAAACGAUGAGCACUGGGUGUGGCGGGUACUCAUUCCUGCCGUGCCGUAGCUAACGCGAUAAGUGCUCCGCCUGGGGACUACGGUCGCAAGACUAAA
rnacentral:rRNA from 1 species